GACGAACGUUGGCGGCGUGCUUAACACAUGCAAGUCGAACGGUAAGGCCCUUCGGGGUACACGAGUGGCGAACGGGUGAGUAACACGUGGGUGAUCUGCCCUGCACUUCGGGAUAAGCCUGGGAAACUGGGUCUAAUACCGGAUAGGACCACUGCCUGCAUGGGUGGUGGUGGAAAGCUUUUGCGGUGUGGGAUGGGCCCGCGGCCUAUCAGCUUGUUGGUGGGGUGAUGGCCUGCCAAGGCGACGACGGGUAGCCGGCCUGAGAGGGUGACCGGCCACACUGGGACUGAGAUACGGCCCAGACUCCUACGGGAGGCAGCAGUGGGGAAUAUUGCACAAUGGGCGCAAGCCUGAUGCAGCGACGCCGCGUGAGGGAUGACGGCCUUCGGGUUGUAAACCUCUUUCAGCACCGACGAAGCGCAAGUGACGGUAUGUGCAGAAGAAGGACCGGCCAACUACGUGCCAGCCGCCGCGGUAA
rnacentral:rRNA from 1 species